GGCUCAGAGCGCGGGCGCCUGGCAGAGCCUGGGGGAUGCGGCGGCGGCAGCAGCAGGUUGGAGGGCGCGCAGCGGGGGCCGAAGGGACUGGGUCGGCACCCGAAGCCGGAGCCGGAGCCCGAGCCUGAGCCGGAGCUGAGACAGAAGUCAAACAGAAGGAAGACAAGCCAAGCCCUGCGCGCCAUGCUUCUGCCCUGACCUUGACAUCUACGACCCUUGCUCUGACCCCGCAGGUCCAGGCCUCACUGUCCACUGCACCGGGACACACACCUGUCCCCAGGUACCAGUGACACCUCUGCCCUGGCCAGGCCCAGGCUGCCACUGGUAGUAACCACAGCUCCCAGAAGGCUGGGGCUGGACCUGUCCAGGCCCCAUGGCCUGCUGCCCUCCUCCCAGCCCCAGCCUGCUGUUGACCUUUAAGCAGACCUUGGCAGUGGAAAUUUCAGGGCCCCAGAGGGGACCCCCAAAGUGAAACUCAAGCCCAGAAAUGGAUUUUCUUCUUCUCCAAGAGCAAAAGAAGUUGAAUAAAAAAUUAGUUACUAUUUUUA